ensembl:lncRNA
UUUUUUUUUUUCUUCUUUUUUUUGAGAUGGAGUUUCACUCUUGUUGCCCAGGCUGGAGUGCAAUAGCACAACCUUGGCUCACUGCAACCUCUGCCUCCUGGGUUCAAGCGAUUCUCAUGCCUCAGCCUCCCAAGUAGCUGGGAUUACAGGCGCCCACCACCACGCCCGGCUAAUUUUGUAUUUUUAGUAGAGGUGGGGUUUCACUAUGUUGUCCAGGCUGGUCUUGAACCCCUGACCUGAAGUUAUCCACCCGCCUUGGCCUCCCAAAGUGCUGGGAUUACAGGCGUGAGCCACUGCACCCAGCAAACUUGUCAUCUUGACAUAUUCCUCCAGUGACUGGCAUCCAUCCUCGGUUGGUGUCUAAGGUAUAAUACAACAGACAGGUACUUUAAACGUUUUCAGUAACUUCCACAAUGCUAACCAAUGUUUUAGGGAAAGGAUUACAUUUCUUUUUUAAAAAAUAAUUUAAGCAAGUUUUGUAAAAAGCACCAAAGGCAAAAAAACUUCAUUGAAGUUUUUAAAAAAUGUAUUCAACUGCUGCAUUAAGGUACUGUACUUACAGAAAAAGAAAAAAAGGUUUAAAAAAGGACAAGAACAGGAAACAGAUGCAGUAAGGGGAGAAGAGUUAGAAAAGAAACUCUGUGGGCAGGGUAUGGUAAGCAGCCAUCAAUAACUGCCUCAGGUGCCACUUAAUGCAUUAAUGUCCUGGGCCUCCUGAGCAUCAUGCAAAUUAGUGAAACCCAACAGGGGGAUUUGCUCUGACAAGCAGCAAUAAAAGUAAAGCUGCUGUCUGUAUUGGCAGUAAACUACCUGUGACACUGAGAUAUGCCUUCUGUGUCUGGCUUAUUACUCCAUCAUGUUCCUACAAUGGCUUGUCACAAACACCUGUUACAAAAAUCAGAUUCCUGGCCUCCACGUCAGACCUAAUGAAUCCAAAUCUCUUGGCACCUGGGUUUGGAUUACUUUUUAAGUUCCUCAGCAAUGAUGGAUAGCUUUCUUUUUUCCCCCCUAAAAAUGUUUCAGGAAUAGGAUUACGUUUGAGAAAAAAUAAUUUAAGCAAGUUUUGUAAAAAGCUAUACCUGUGAUGCUGACAAUAUUUCACCUCACUUAUCUGCUUCUUUCCCAAGACUUAGUCUUUCUCUUUGAAGGAGCUGUGUUUCUCCUAGUGGUUCUGAUCUUUCCAUUGAAGCUGCAGGUACAAACGAUGGAUUGAAGUGACCACCCUUCAAUCUCCAGUUCUUCAGUCAACAAAUAUCAAAUACCUAUCAGAGUGCACCCUGUCCUGCAGCAGAUAUUCAAGGCUCUCCCUACAAGAAUGAAGAAGGUGUUUAACUGAAGGGAUUGGUGGUAGAAUAAAGAGAGCUGGGCGCGUGGGACAUCAUCUCUAAGGAAAGAGGGAGAGAAGGAGCGAACGAGGGAGGGAGGGAGGAAGGAAGGAAAGGAGGAAACAAGGAAACAGAGAAAGAUUUUAAAAAAGAGUUAAAAGGGGAAAAAUACAAUGUGGCAGUGGGAGAAUUAAGGAUGAGAUGAUUGCAUUAGUUCAUUGACCAUCCCUAAGCAACAGA